rnacentral:miRNA from 1 species
UAUAUCAAAUCUAUAAAUUUUUAAAAAAUUUGAAAAUCAUUUGAUAUUUCGUUUCAUUAAUUUAAAUCAAUGUAUAAAAUAAUUUUAUGAUUAUCCAUCAAUUUAAAUUAAUAAAAUGAAGUAUCAAAUGAUUUUCAAAUUUUCUAAAAAUUUGUAAAUUUUUCUUA